UCCGAUAUGGUGUAGUAACUAACAUUAUCGCCUCUCAUUAGCUUGAGACACGCGAUAGCCCGGGGUUCGAUUCCCCGUGUCGGAA